CUUAUGGAGCAUGUAGAACCUCGAUUUGAAAUGCUGUCUCACCACUAUUUCACAGAGAAAGCUCUGCCAGCCCUCUAUAAGAAGAUUUCUGACAAACUACUUGUCCUGUUAUCAGAUGUACCCCAUGUUUCGUUCACCACAGACAUCUGGAGUUCGUCCGUAGCUCCUAUGUCUCUACUAAGCCUUACCACACAAUGGAUUGACUCAAGUUUUGUUUUACGCUGUGCGACCCUACAUGUCCAGGAAUUUCGCGGAUCGCACACCGCAGAGCACAUCCAGCAAUCGAUUGAAAAGAUGCUAAACAACUGGGGAAUUGACAAGCAACGGGUCCACGUAAUUUUGUGUGACAACGCGGCAAAUAUGAAGAAAGCUAUGAGGGAUAUGGGGGUGCCGAGUAUUUGUCAACUCUGUGUGCAUGAAGGCCUGCUGUCUCACCACAGCAUGACAGAGACCCUGGCCAACCCAAGGAAGAUUGUAGGCCAUUUUAAACACUCCCCGUUGGCCUACUCUCAACUAGAAGACAUACAGAUGGACCUAAAUAUGGAUAUCAAGCACCUACAGCAAGAUGUACAGACAUGAUGGAACAGCAGCCUCUACAUGCUGCAGAGCCUACUGCAACAAGAACGUGCUAUUAGUGUCUUUGCAGCUGAGCGCACUCUACCAGCAUCACUGACACCUCACCAGUGGGAGCUGAUGAAUAAGACUGCUGAUGUGCUAUCCCCCUUUGAAGAGCUGACCAGGGAUGUGAGCAGGGAGACUGCAACUGCAGCUGAUGUGACCCCUGCCAUAACAGAUAAUAUUCCUCAGACGUGUUCUGUCUCGGGAGGAUGAUGAUGACCAGGGAAUAAAAACAAUGAAGAGGACUCUGCUGGAGGCAGUGGAGAAGCGCUUUGCUGAUGUUGAAACUGAGCCACUCUUCUACAUCGCCACUCUUCUAGAUCCCAGAUACAAAGAUGGGCAAGUAUAGUAAAAUUAAAAUGCACCAUUUGUACAUCAUGUUUAUAUAAAGUCAUCA